AGGGGAGUAGCUCAGCGGUAGUAGCGCCUGCCUUACACGCAGGAGGUCCACGGUUCAAUCCCGUGCUUCCCUACCA
rnacentral:tRNA from 1 species